GAUGAACGCUAGCGGCAGGCUUAACACAUGCAAGUCGAGGGGUAACAGAGGAUGCUUGCAACCUGCUGACGACCGGCGCACGGGUGCGUAACGCGUAUGCAACCUACCUUUUACUGGGGGAUAGUCAAGAGAAAUUUUGAAUAAUACCCCAUACGAUCUGAUUCACUCCUGUGAAACAGAAGAAAAUUUCGAUGGUAAAAGAUGGGCAUGCGUCCUAUUAGUUUGUUGGUGAGGUAACGGCUCACCAAGACUACGAUAGGUAGGGGUCCUGAGAGGGAGAUCCCCCACACUGGUACUGAGACACGGACCAGACUCCUACGGGAGGCAGCAGUGAGGAAUAUUGGACAAUGGAGGAAACUCUGAUCCAGCCAUGCCGCGUGCAGGAAGACGGCCCUAUGGGUUGUAAACUGCUUUUAUACAGAAAGAAACGUUAGUACGUGUACUAACCUGACGGUACUGUAAGAAUAAGGAUCGGCUAACUCCGUGCCAGCCGCCGCAGUAAGAC
rnacentral:rRNA from 1 species